AUGAGUGUGCACGCUUUGCCGGGAGAUGGAGAAAUGCCAUUCACAGGAGCUGUCUGUGCCUAACAGUUUCUUAAACUAUGGGACAGACAACAGGAGUUAUUCUCAGGAACUAGUUUGCAUUGAGUUGCAUAGUGGUUAUCUGUCAUUAAUCUGACAUUUGGGGCUGUCUCAUUUUACUGCUGCUCUGAUUGUUAGAAGUAAGACUGCUAUUAGCACAAGUUUACUUCUAAAGGUUGGUAUGUGCUGAGCCCCAAACUCUGAGGAAUAUUUGUACCAAGAUUUUGGGACAGGCAGUGAGAAAUAUUCUGUUCCUCCUACAACCAGGAGAAGCCAGAACAGAGAGAUGGAAAUGGAUGGAAAACAGGCAGCAGGGAAUCUAAGUGAUUAACAGAUAGAUCGCUCUGCCGGGCAGUAUCAUACUGAAGGUUAAGCCUGGUUUUAAGUGAGAUGCUACACAUUUAAAGCAACUCCCUCUACUUAAAGCUUAUUACAGAGAUCUACAAAGUCAGUGAGUAACAUCUAGGAGACUGCAAACAUCCCAGAGACAGGGUCUUUCUUCCUCUAAGUAUUUGCACAGACCAGUAUUUGUGCAGGACCAGAGCUACCUUUGUCAGGCACUAGGGACUGCAGGAGGCUCAGUGCCACUGUUACCUUAGGCAGUUUGCUCAGCAGACAUCCAGCUCCUGCAGUCCAGCAGGCUCACUGGAGUUGGCAGUCACAGGGCCUGAAGAACUGGACUCAGUUUGCAGUUCCCCACAACGCACGUCCUUACAGCAAGACGCUUGCCCUGCCUUAAAGAGAAACCAGUGCAAAGCAGUGCACUGAUUUUUUUUUUUUACUGCUUCUAUAUCGACACAUCUUCUGUUACUGCAUUUAUCUGCACAUCCAAGCAAUGAAGAAAAAAAAAAACAACCAACCAACCAGCCAUGAAGUUUUCAAUUCAACCCUGGCACAAACAGCACAAUUCCCUUGGACACCAGUGCAUAUUGCACCCAGUAAUAUCAUUAUAUGACCUGAGACUACGUUUUCUCCUUCAACACCCUUGAACAGCUCUAAGAACAUGGCAAGGCACUAGAUUUUGUUAUUAACUCAUACUGAGCCUUCAUUUCCGUCAUGCU